UCUCCUGGAAUGGGAGGGCCAGCUCCGCAGCCGGGCAGAUGAUGCCGCUGCAGAGCACGAAGCCGGGUCAGGAUCCGGCCCGGGGGAGGCUGGCUGAGCCAUCCUGCAAAACUCAGGCUGAGGAGUGCCGAGGGGCAGGCGUGAGGGAGAGGAGUGAGAAGCCACCCCCAAACUCGUCUUCGCCAAAUGCUCAAUCCAUCGCAGGUUCUGGCCGGGGCCGGCACUCUGGGCCCUCACUUGAAGGUGAAUAAGAAGGGUGCAAGUUAGCAGAAGAGAUGAAGCCGAGCUUUUCGUCAGCCCCAGAGUCACGGAAAGUCCCUGAAACCUUGCGAGUUAAUUGAGCAGGGGACGGUCCCCAGAACGGCGAAGAGAUGGGGAGCGGCGGGGCAGCGCGGCCGCUCUCCGGCAGCGGGCAGGGGUGGGCAGCCGGCGGCGGCCCCCGCCGCUCUGCCUCCGGCACCCCCGCACCCUCCCCGGCGUGCAGGGAGCACAACCGAACAAACUGGUCUAUUGUACUGCAAGACAUUUACCAACCCCCAAACCUGUUACAAAACAGCAAACCCGGGCUUCUUUCUUUGGGGAGAAAACUGCGCACUCCACACUCACUCACGCACACGCAUAAAACAUGGCAGGCGGGAGAGGAAGGAGAGAAAAGGAGGGGGAGGGCAGCGGGGAGGAAGACUGGAGAUAGGUAAGUGCGCCCCAGGGCAGGAGCGUGCCUUUUCAGGCCUCGCCUCCCCCCUUCCAGCACUCUCCCCGCCGCCUCGGCUGCCGGAGGGGCAUCUUUCAUCUCGGGGAUUCUUCCAGCGACGCCUUUGGCACAUUCACUGCUGUCGCCGAACCCCUCACGGCCGUGAAUUACCACUGCCCCCUAGGAUGGGGGUCCCCGUGGGAAGGUGCGCCGCCGGGGGGCCCCGAGGACCAGGACUUCUACUGGAAGAGAGCCCACACUCCAUGCGAGUGUCCGCGCCAGUGGGCAGCGCUCCGGCCAUCUCGCCCAAGCCGUGCCUCCAGCACUGGGCAGCGCUAGUGACUGACGCAAGGUUUUUCUCCCUAAAUCGUGUAGAAAUAAAACAAAAACAAUAAAAGUA